rnacentral:rRNA from 1 species
UACGUAGGGUGCAGGCGUUAAUCGGAAUUACUGGGCGUAAAGCGUGCGCAGGCGGUUCGUUAAGUUCGAUGUGAAAGCCCCGGGCUCAACCUGGGAACUGCAUUGGAAACUGGCGAGCUUGAGUAUGGCAGAGGGGGGUGGAAUUCCGCGUGUAGCAGUGAAAUGCGUAGAGAUGCGGAGGAACACCGAUGGCGAAGGCAGCCCCCUGGGCCAAUACUGACGCUCAGGCACGAAAGCGUGGGGAGCAAACAGG